rnacentral:rRNA from 1 species
CUACUGGAGGCAGCAGUGGGGGAUAUUGCACAAUGGGGGAAACCCUGAUGCAGCGACGCCGCGUGAGUGAAGGAGCGUUUCGGCGCGUAAAGCUCUAUCAGCAGGGAAGACAAACUGCCCCGGAAGGGGCAGCCGGACGGUACCUGACCAAGAAGCCCCGGCUAACUACGUGCCAGCAGCCGCGGUAAUACGGAGGAUGCGAGCGUUAUCCGGAUUUAUUGGGUUUAAAGGGUGCGUAGGCGGUCCGUUAAGUCAGCGGUAAAAUUGCGGGGCUCAACCCCGUCGAGCCGUUGAAACUGGCAGAC